rnacentral:sRNA from 1 species
AAUUACCAAUUAAACGUUUAAUUGUUUUAACCCACAAUACCCUAAUUUUUAAAAACAGGUUCCCCCGAUAUCUGGAUCGUAACCCUAUUCCUAUAUAUUUUAACGUCCGUAAAUAUUUUAAAGGCGAUUCCAGUUAAAUUGUAAAAUAUAAAAGAAAAAUUUACCUGGGUGGAUUAAAAUUGAAAAUUUUUAUAAUAUUAUUCCCAUUUAACGUAUAUGGCAAUUUAAUAAUAUAUAUCCAAUGGGCAUUUUUGCGUUAUAUAAUUUCGGUUUUCCUCGUUUUAUUUACCUUAUUUGUCAAUAAGGCGCUAUUAUUAACGAAAAUCUGCAAAAUCUUUUGGUGGCCUCCUAAUAAAACGGUUUGGAAAACGUUGCCGUACCGGCCGCCCUAAAUAUUAACGUCCGCACUUUUAUCGACCAAAAUUUGCACAAUUUUUUUAUCGCUUUUAAAUAAAGUAAUAUAAAAAGCGUUGCCGUAUUCGCCGCCCUAAAUAUUAACGUCGGCAUUUUUAUCGACCAAAGUCUGUAUAAUCUCUUUAUAACCUUUAAAUAAAGCGGUUUGGAAAACGUUACCGUAUUCGCCGCCCUAAAUAUUAACGUCCGCACCGUUAUUUAACACCUUUUCCACAGCGCAAAAUACGUUUCCCCCAACCAUAUAAUAAAAUAAAGGAAUUACAACCUUUUUAAAAUUGUUAAAAUUUCUUUUAUUCCAUAGUUUGUCGGGAUUAUAAAGGUCAAAACAAAUUUAAUAACAUUUUUUAUUUUAAACGAAUUUCCAAACAAAAUUUUCAAGUUUUUUGGUAUUUGGUCCAGUAUAACCAGCGUGGCCCAUCCAAUAUCGUGCAACGUAUUGUAUUAAAGGCCAAUUUUAUAAUUCCACCGCUGUAAAGUUAUGGUUAAGGUUUAGCAGAUAUACCAGGCAAACCUCCGCCAUAUAUUACCUAACAAACCUUUUUUAAAAUUAUAACGACAUUUUGUUUUCCAAUCGAUCCAAUAUAAAGUAUUUUUUCAUUAAAAAAUGCGCAAAUUGUAAUUUUUUUUUUUGUUUCCCUUUUUGCCGCUUUUAUUUAUUACAAUUACCAAAUUUAAACAAUAUGUAAAAAUUUCGUCUGGUUCGGGCAUUUUAUAAUCGGCGUUAAAUUUUGGCUUUUUUUCCAAAUUAACGGCAUUUAUAUCGACAGUUUUUUCAAAUUGCAAUGGUCGUUCGGAAAACGUAAAAAAUUGCAAAAAUUUUGUCGCGUUGCGUUCGUAAUUUGGCGGGAUUUUGUUCAAAAUGCGUACGUAUAUUUCGUCCAGCGUUUUUGGUAACGUUUUAAACGCCGUUCGAAAAUUAAUAGGAUUAGGACAUUUUUCCAAAAAAUCGAAUUGGCACGAAACCCAUCGAAACCUGCAUUCCAAUUUAACAAUAGGUUUUCGGAACAUUAGGUGAAAAUUUAUUUUUAUAUUCUAUUGGCCUUUUAUAUUAAAUGGUCUUCAAUUUUUUACUAAAUAUUUUUUCGCCUUUACCAUCGUUUCAAUCCUUUAUAAUAUUUUACCUUUUUAUAAAUAUACGCGCAUAUAUUAUCGGCGACCAAUUUGUUUUAUAUAGGUAUUUGGUGGUCCACGAAUUUAUCCAAAAUUAAUUCGAUAUUUCGUUUUGGACGAUUUGUAAAUAAAACGUAAAUAUUUGCUCGUAAAACCGUUAAAAAAUCCUUAAUCCAAAACAGCAGCCUUUUGUUUUUUAUACCCUUUUUUGUUUGGCAUUCGUCGAAUACGUUUAAUAUAAUCCAAAUUUCGCCAAUAUGCUAAGCCAUUUUUUCCAAAAUUUCGUUUAACAAAUUAACGGUGGGUAUUCGCGACCUAUUUUCGUAAAAGAAAUAAAACGAAUACAAAUACCCCUGGUAAACGUUCGGGUUUUUUUGGUACAAUUGGUAUAUAAACGACCGAAUCGCAUUUUCGAAUAACUGUUUGCUAAUAUCGCUAAAAUUAAAAUAAAAAUAAAUAAAAUUGUCGGAAUAAAACCUGGUAUGGCGCAAAUUGUCGAUAAUGGUCGAAUUAAAAAUUGUUUUGCUACAACCGGGGAUAUUAUAAAAUUAUAAAAAAGAUUUUGGCGUUGUUUUCCAUUGCGAAUAUUUUUCGCUUUUUAGGAAUUAUUGGCCUAUAUUUCCAUAACGUUGUUUCAAAACUUUUUUGUCGUUUGUCGAUAUAUUUGGCGGGGCGAACCAUUUAAUAAUUUCCUAAAAAUAUU